rnacentral:rRNA from 1 species
GAUGAACGCUGGCGGCGUGCCUAAUACAUGCAAGUCGAGCGAACAGACGAGGAGCUUGCUCCUCUGACGUUAGCGGCGGACGGGUGAGUAACACGUGGAUAACCUACCUAUAAGACUGGGAUAACUUCGGGAAACCGGAGCUAAUACCGGAUAAUAUAUUGAACCGCAUGGUUCAAUAGUGAAAGACGGUUUUGCUGUCACUUAUAGAUGGAUCCGCGCCGCAUUAGCUAGUUGGUAAGGUAACGGCUUACCAAGGCAACGAUGCGUAGCCGACCUGAGAGGGGGUCGCCCCCACGGGGAACUGAGCCCCGGCCCAGCCCCCUAGGGGAGGCACAAGUAGGGAAUCUUCCGCAAUGGGCGAAAGCCUGACGGAGCAACGCCGGGUGGGUGAUGAAGGUUUUCGGUUCGUAAAACUCUUUUAUGAGGGAAGAAAAAAUGUGUAAGUAACUAUGCGCGUUUUGCGGGUACCUAAUCAGAAAGCCCCGGCUAACUCCGG